rnacentral:rRNA from 1 species
UACGGAGGGGAGCUAGCGUUGUUCGGAAUUACUGGGCGUAAAGCGCACGUAGGCGGAUUUGUAAGUCAGGGGUGAAAUCCCGGGGCUCAACCUCGGAACUGCCUUUGAUACUGCAAAUCUCGAGUCCGGAAGAGGUGAGUGGAAUUCCUAGUGUAGAGGUGAAAUUCGUAGAUAUUAGGAAGAACACCAGUGGCGAAGGCGGCUCACUGGUCCGGUACUGACGCUGAGGUGCGAAAGCGUGGGGAGCAAACAGGG